GUCUACAGCCAUGCCACCCUGAACAAGCCCGAUCCCAUCUGAUCUUGGAAGCAAAGCAGGGUCGGGCCAUUGAGACCACCUAGGAAGACCAGAUGCUAUAGACA
rnacentral:rRNA from 1 species